rnacentral:lncRNA from 1 species
UUUAAACUUAUAUGUAAUUGUAACUUUUAUCUUGACCAAGUUCUGACGAUCGUUACUACCCCUUGCCUUUUUCCACACUAUAUUCCCUUUUGGUAUUUUUAAGCUAUUCAACACGUUAACAUUACCUUCAAAAUAAUACAUAACGUGUGUUGUACUAGCAAAAUACUAGAAUGUGUGUGGGGAACACUUUCCCAUUUCCCAAAGUUUGCAAAAGUCAAACGAAUAAUUGACAAUAAUAAUUUACGAAACAGUCUAACAAAGUCCUGCGUGUUAUAACUACCAGUUCCUUCCUCCAUUAAGGCAUUUUACAUUCACCAACAUGCUUUGCCAUCCAAUCUAGAAUUGAAAGACAUUGAAUCAGAGAUUACCGAAUAUCAAUUACCAAAAGUUAAGUAAAUCUUGAUUUGAGAAAUAUCAACUCUUCUAACGAGGGCGAAAACUCUAUUAAGUUUUGCAACUAUGAAUGUAAGCUAGGUCACAAGUUGACUUGAAUACAGAAUUACAAGUUGACUUAUAAACUUCUUUAAGAUACACACCUAUGGAGUACAAGUUUGAUCAUGUUGUUUGCAGCAAGACCGUAAUUUACAAGGAGAAGGACCAUGUUUUCCAUGGUUGCAUCGUGGAGUAGGUUCGACUUGCCACCGUCGGCAUCUACUGGAAUGAUAUUUCAAUGACAUUGCAGCUGUAAUAGCAGCAUGGGGAAGGAAAGCACAAAAGUUGGUUUUUCCAUUUUCAUAGAUUCGGAUAGACUAUGGAUUCAAACAAUUUCUUUCGUACUCUG